rnacentral:lncRNA from 1 species
UUUAAUUGAGUUUUCUACUGAUUUUUUUUUAUUUAUUAUUUAGAUUGAUAUUUAAAUUAGUCUUGGAUCAUUCCUAAAAAAAAUCCAUUUUAUAUCCAUAGUACAUUUCAAAAUCAGAAUGGCAUUACAACAUUAUCAUGAAUUACAAAGUCAUCUUCCAAAGGACAAACAAUUCCAUUUCCAUAUCAAUACAUUGCUAGUAUUUAUCCAUGAGAAUAAGCAUUGAUACUAAAAUGUGACAUUACAUGUUGUUCUUACAAAAAGGUCCCAAUCCUACACUGGCUUUUAUGCUACAUGACAUA